rnacentral:rRNA from 1 species
CAUUGAAUCGAUCGAGAACAAACCCUGGUGACCACCGUUGUCCCCUCCCGUGGAUGGGUGGCCGCUCGUCGCCCUUCGGGUGAUGGGUGGCCGCCGAUCGAGACACGGGCGGCCGAUCGUCGCAUCGGUCUUCGGGCCGGCUCCCGGUCGAGCCCUCCCCUUCGGGCAGAGGGCAGGGGUCAACCCUUUUUGAAGGGGUGGCCCCGAUCGGGAGCGGACCCGGAGAGGCUCUCUUUUCGAACCUCGAAACACGCCCUGAAGCAGGCCGGCACUCGGUGUCGGCACACACAAAGAGACAACUCUCAACAACGGAUAUCUUGGCUCCCGCAACGAUGAAGAACGCAGCGAAAUGCGAUACCUAGUGUGAAUUGCAGAAUUCCGUGAAUCAUCGAGUCUUUGAACGCAUAUCGCGCUCGAGGCCUCGGCCGAGAGCAUGUCUGCCUCAGCGUCUCUCUCAUUCUCCCUUUCCUCCGCUCGCGGCGGAAAGGGGAGCUGGUCGUUCCGAGUCCCGGCCACUCGGAUCGGUCGAAAUGCAGAAGGGCCCUCCCCUCAAAUGUGAAGGGCUUCGAAAGGUGGAUUGCCUCCGGGCGAUGCCGAUCGAGGCCUGGAGGGGUUGAAACUCGCCCUGAAGUUGGAGAUUCAGACUUGUGACCUGAGUUCAGGCAAGAUCACCCGCUGAACUUAAGCAUA